AAUAAUGUGAAUUGCAGAAUUCAGUGAAUCAUCGAAUCUUUGAACGCACCUUGCGCUCCUUGGUAUUCCGAGGAGCAUGCCUGUUUGAGUGUCAUUAAAUUCUCAACCUUUAUCAGUUUUACUGGURAAUGGCUUGGAUGUGGGAGUUGCUGGUUUCUCUUUUUGAAAUCAGCUCUUCUGAAAUGCAUUAGCUGGUUGCCUUGUGCAAACAUGUCUAUUGGUGUGAUAAUUAUCUACACCGUGGACUUGCAUGAAUGAGCACUGCUUAUAAUCGUCUGUAAAGACAAUUUAUGACAAUUUGACCUCAAAUCAGGUAGGACUACCCGCUGAACUUAAGCAUAUCAAUAAGCGGAGGAAAAGAAACUAACAAGGAUUCCCCUAGUAACUGCGAGUGAAGCGGGAAAAGCUCAAAUUUAAAAUCUGGCAGUCUUUGGCUGUCCGAGUUGUAAUCUAGAGAAGUGUUAUCCGCGCUGGACCGUGUACAAGUCUCCUGGAAUGGAGCGUCAUAGAGGGUGAGAAUCCCGUCUUUGACACGGACUGCCAGGGCUUUGUGAUGCGCUCUCAAAGAGUCGAGUUGUUUGGGAAUGCAGCUCAAAAUGGGUGGUAAAUUCCAUCUAAAGCUAAAUAUUGGCGAGAGACCGAUAGCGAACAAGUACCGUGAGGGAAAGAUGAAAAGAACUUUGGAAAGAGAGUUAAACAGUACGUGAAAUUGCUGAAAGGGAAACGCUUGAAGUCAGUCGCAUUGGCUGAGAAUCAACYUUGCUUUUGCUUGGUGUACUUCUUAGUUAAUGGGUCAACAUCAAUUUUGACUGUUGGAUAAAGUCUGAAGGAAUGUGGCAUCUUCGGAUGUGUUAUAGCCUUUAGUUGCAUACAACAGUUGGGAUUGAGGAACUCAGCACGCCGCAAGGCCGGGUACUUGUACCACGUUCGUGCUUAGGAUGUUGGCAUAAUGGCUUUAAUCGACCCGUCUUGAAACACGGACCAAGGAGUCUAACAUGCCUGCGAGUAUUUGGGUGGAAAACCCGAGUGCGUAAUGAAAGUGAAAGUUGAGAUCCCUGUCAUGGGGAGCAUCGACGCCCGGACCAGACCUUUUGUGACGGAUCUGCGGUAGAGCAUGUAUGUUGGGACCCGAAAGAUGGUGAACUAUGCCUGAAUAGGGUGAAGCCAGAGGAAACUCUGGUGGAGGCUCGUAGCGAUUCUGACGUGCAAAUCGAUCGUCAAAUUUGGGUAUAGGGGCGAAAGACUAAUCGAACCAUCUAGUAGCUG
rnacentral:rRNA from 1 species